GACAAACGCUGGCGGCGUGCUUAACACAUGCAAGUCGAGCGGAGCGGCGAACGGGUGAGUAACGCGUGAGUAACUGCCCCCCUCUCUGGGAUCACAGUUGGAAACGGCUGCUAAUACCGGAUAGUGGGGGAUGACUCGCGUCCUAUCAGCUUGUUGGUGUGGUAGUGGCCUACCAAGGCGACGACGGGUAGCCGGCCUGAGAGGGCGACCGGCCACAUGGGGCUGAGAUACGGCCCAAAAGCUGACGGGAGGCAGCGGUGGGGAAUAUUGCAGAAGGGGGGAAACCCAGAUGCAGCAACGCGCGUGCGGGAUGACGGCCUGCGGGUUGAAAACCGCUAUGAGCCAUGACGCGGUAGUGGCAGAAGAAGCACCGGCUAACUACGUGCCAGCAGCCGCGGUAAUUC
rnacentral:rRNA from 1 species